GUAGAACGCUGAAGGAGGAGCUUGCUUCUCUGGAUGAGUUGCGAACGGGUGAGUAACGCGUAGGUAACCUGCCUGGUAGCGGGGGAUAACUAUUGGAAACGAUAGCUAAUACCGCAUAAUAGUAGAUGUUGCAUGACAUUUGCUUAAAAGGUGCAAUUGCAUCACUACCAGAUGGACCUGCGUUGUAUUAGCUAGUUGGUGAGGUAACGGCUCACCAAGGCAACGAUACAUAGCCGACCUGAGAGGGUGAUCGGCCACACUGGGACUGAGACACGGCCCAGACUCCUACGGGAGGCAGCAGUAGGGAAUCUUCGGCAAUGGACGGAAGUCUGACCGAGCAACGCCGCGUGAGUGAAGAAGGUUUUCGGAUCGUAAAGCUCUGUUGUAAGAGAAGAACGAGUGUGAGAGUGGAAAGUUCACACUGUGACGGUAUCUUACCAGAAAGGGACGGCUAACUACGUGCCAGCAGCCGCGGUAAUACGUAGGUCCCGAGCGUUGUCCGGAUUUAUUGGGCGUAAAGCGAGCGCAGGCGGUUAGAUAAGUCUGAAGUUAAAGGCUGUGGCUUAACCAUAGUACGCUUUGGAAACUGUUUAACUUGAGUGCAAGAGGGGAGAGUGGAAUUCCAUGUGUAGCGGUGAAAUGCGUAGAUAUAUGGAGGAACACCGGUGGCGAAAGCGGCUCUCUGGCUUGUAACUGACGCUGAGGCUCGAAAGCGUUGGGAGCAAACAGGAUUAGAUACCCUGGUAGUCCACGCCGUAAACGAUGAGUGCUAGGUGUUAGACCCUUUCCGGGGUUUAGUGCCGCAGCUAACGCAUUAAGCACUCCGCCUGGGGAGUACGACCGCAAGGUUGAAACUCAAAGGAAUUGACGGGGGCCCGCACAAGCGGUGGAGCAUGUGGUUUAAUUC
rnacentral:rRNA from 1 species